rnacentral:rRNA from 1 species
CGGCCACCGCUAUUGGAAUUCGAUUAAGACAUGCGAGUCGAGAGUCGUAAGGACUCGGCGGACCGCUCAGUAACACGCGGAUAACAUGCCCUUGGGUGGAGGAUAAUCUCGGUAAACUGAGGAUAAUACUCCAUAGAUCUACUAUGCUGGAAUGCUUGUAGAUCCAAAACUCCGGUGCCCAAGGAUUGGUCUGCGGCGUAUCAGGUCGUAGUGGGUGUAACGGACCCACUAGCCAGUGACGCGUAAGGGCCUUGAGAGAGGAAGCCCUGAGAUGGACUCUGAGACAUGAGUCCAGGCCCUACGGGGCGCAGCAGUCGCGAAAACUUCACAAUGGGGGAAACCCCGAUGAGGGAAUUCCAAGUGUCAGCACAUUGUGUUGACUGUUCCCCUGUCUAAAAAACAGGAGAAGUAAGGGCCGGGUAAGACGGGUGCCAGCCGCCGCGGUAAUACCCGCGGCCCGAGUGGUGGUCGAUAUUAUUGAGCCUAAAACGUUCGUAGCCGGUCUUGUAAAUCCUUGGGUAAAUCGGCCAGCUUAACUGUCCGAAGUCCGGGGAGACUGCAGGACUUGGGAUCGGGAGAGGUCAGAGGUACUUCUGGGGUAGGGGUAAAAUCUUGUAAUCCUUGAAGGACCACCAGUGGCGAAGGCGUCUCACCAGAACGGACCUGACGGCAAGGGACGAAAGCUAGGGGCACGAACCGGAUUAGAUACCCGGGUAGUCCUAGCCGUAAACGAUACUCGCUAGGUGUCGGCCACGGUGCGACCGUUGUCGGUGCCGUAGGGAAGCCGUGAAGCGAGCCACCUGGGAAGUACGGCCGCAAGGCUGAAACUUAAAGGAAUUGGCGGGGGAGCACCACAACGGGUGGAGCUUGCGGUUUAAUUGGAUUCAACGCCGGG